rnacentral:misc_RNA from 1 species
AGAUCAGAACACACAAAUAGUUGUAUCUGAAUUUAGAGAAAUUAUUCAUGAUCAAUGACCCAUUUUGACCUGGCAUCAUCUACUAUAAUCAGCUGUUAUAAUUAUACAAUGGAUGUCAUUUUUCCUCUCCCUGAAUUUAUGAUCUGGACGAUAAAUUUCUUAAUUCUAGAAUACCAAAACCAUGCAGACACGCAAUUAACCAGAGAUAAUAAAAAACCUAAAACAAACAGAGAACCCAUCAACCAUCCAAUUAGUUCUUUAUUAAACCAACCACAUAUCGAGAACACUUAAAUCAACAAAUAGUCAAGGAAGGGAAGAAGGAAAGAAAGGCUUACAACUGGGAGUGGUGAGCUUCAAAGUACAGAAGCAGAUAUCAUAGAGAGCCUCAUUGUCGAGAACCAUACACUCAUCUGCAUUCUCUACAAGCUGAUGAACAGAGAGAGUCGCAUUGUAGGGCUCAACAACAGUGUCAGAUACCUUCGGAGAUGGGAAAACAGAGAAUGUAAGCAUCAUGCGAUCAGGAUAUUCUUCCCUUAUCUUCGAGAUCAAUAGCGUGCCCAUUCCAGAGCCAGUAGCACCUCCCAAGGAGUGGCAUACCUGAAACCCUUGCAAGCAGUCA